rnacentral:rRNA from 1 species
GACGAACGCUGGCGGCGUGCUUAACACAUGCAAGUCGAGCGGUAAGGCCCUUUCGGGGGUACACGAGCGGCGAACGGGUGAGUAACACGUGGGUGACCUGCCCUUAGCUCUGGGAUAAGCCUGGGAAACUGGGUCUAAUACCGGAUAUGACUCCAUGACGCAUGUUGUGGGGUGGAAAGCCUUGUGCGGCUAGGGAUGGGCCUGCGGCCUAUCAGCUUGUUGGUGGGGUGAUGGCCUACCAAGGCGACGACGGGUAGCCGGCCUGAGAGGGCGACCGGCCACACUGGGACUGAGACACGGCCCAGACUCCUACGGGAGGCAGCAGUGGGGAAUCUUGCGCAAUGGGCGAAAGCCUGACGCAGCGACGCCGCGUGGGGAUGACGGCCU